rnacentral:rRNA from 1 species
ACGAACGCUGGCGGCAUGCCUAACACAUGCAAGUCGAACGAGACCUUCGGGUCUAGUGGCGCACGGGUGCGUCACGCGUGGGAACCUGCCCUUAGGUUCGGAAUAACUCCCCGAAAGGGGUGCUAAUACCGGAUAAUGUCUUCGGACCAAAGAUUUAUCGCCUUUGGAUGGGCCCGCGUUGGAUUAGCUAGUUGGUAGGGUAAAAGCCUACCAAGGCGACGAUCCAUAGCUGGUCUGAGAGGAUGAUCAGCCACACUGGGACUGAGACACGGCCCAGACUCCUACGGGAGGCAGCAGUGGGGAAUAUUGGACAAUGGGCGAAAGCCUGAUCCAGCAAUGCCGCGUGAGUGAUGAAGGCCUUAGGGUUGUAAAGCUCUUUUACCCGGGAUGAUAAUGACAGUACCGGAAGAAUAAGCUCCGGCUAACUCCGUG